GGCUUAACACAUGCAAGUCGAGGGGCAUCAGGAAGAAAGCUUGCUUUCUUUGCUGGCGACCGGCGCACGGGUGAGUAACACGUAUCCAACCUGCCCUUUACUCGGGGAUAGCCUUUCGAAAGAAAGAUUAAUACCGGAUGGCAUAGUUUUCCCGCAUGGGAUAAUUAUUAAAGGAUUCCGGUAAAGGAUGGGGAUGCGUUCCAUUAGGUUGUUGGUGAGGUAACGGCCCACCAAGCCUUCGAUGGAUAGGGGUUCUGAGAGGAAGGUCCCCCACAUUGGAACUGAGACACGGUCCAAACUCCUACGGGAGGCAGCAGUGAGGAAUAUUGGUCAAUGGGCGCUAGCCUGAACCAGCCAAGUAGCGUGAAGGAUGAAGGCUCUAUGGGUCGUAAACUUCUUUUAUAUAAGAAUAAAGUGCAGUAUGUAUACUGUUUUGUAUGUAUUAUAUGAAUAAGGAUCGGCUAACUCCGUGCCAGCAGCCGCGGUAAUACGGAGGAUCCGAGCGUUAUCCGGAUUUAUUGGGUUUAAAGGGAGCGUAGGUGGACUGGUAAGUCAGUUGUGAAAGUUUGCGGCUCAACCGUAAAAUUGCAGUUGAUACUGUCAGUCUUGAGUACAGUAGAGGUGGGCGGAAUUCGUGGUGUAGCGGUGAAAUGCUUAGAUAUCACGAAGAACUCCGAUUGCGAAGGCAGCUCACUGGACUGCAACUGACACUGAUGCUCGAAAGUGUGGGUAUCAAACAGGAUUAGAUACCCUGGUAGUCCACACAGUAAACGAUGAAUACUCGCUGUUUGCGAUAUACAGUAAGCGGCCAAGCGAAAGCAUUAAGUAUUCCACCUGGGGAGUACGCCGGCAACGGUGAAACUCAAAGGAAUUGACGGGGGCCCGCACAAGCGGAGGAACAUGUGGUUUAAUUCGAUGAUACGCGAGGAACCUUACCCGGGCUUAAAUUGCAGUGGAAUGAUGUGGAAACAUGUCAGUGAGCAAUCACCGCUGUGAAGGUGCUGCAUGGUUGUCGUCAGCUCGUGCCGUGAGGUGUCGGCUUAAGUGCCAUAACGAGCGCAACCCUUAUCUUUAGUUACUAACAGGUUAUGCUGAGGACUCUAGAGAGACUGCCGUCGUAAGAUGUGAGGAAGGUGGGGAUGACGUCAAAUCAGCACGGCCCUUACGUCCGGGGCUACACACGUGUUACAAUGGGGGGUACAGAAGGCAGCUAGCGGGUGACCGUAUGCUAAUCCCAAAAUCCUCUCUCAGUUCGGAUCGAAGUCUGCAACCCGACUUCGUGAAGCUGGAUUCGCUAGUAAUCGCGCAUCAGCCACGGCGCGGUGAAUACGUUCCCGGGCCUUGUACACACCGCCCGUCAAGCCAUGGGAGCCGGGGGUACCUGAAGUACGUAACCGCAAGGAUCGUCCUAGGGUAAAACUGGUGACUGGGGCUAAG
rnacentral:rRNA from 1 species